UAUGCUGCAUAUGUAUCAGUGGGCGGUGUUAUGUCUGUUAUCCAAAUGAUGUUUGCAGGACUCCUCUUCCUACUUUUCACAAAAUUCAGCUUUAUGCGAAAACUUCUGAUAAAAGUUCAGUAUGCUGCAUAUGUAUCAGUGGGCGGUGUUAUGUCUGUUAUCCAAAUGAUGUUUGCAGGACUCCUCUUCCUACUUUUCACAAAAUUCAGCUUUAUGCGAAAACUUCUGAUAAAAUAUCCGAAAUUCUUUUAAUUCGGUUAUUUCUCUAGUGAAGGACCAACGCAGCAACAG